UGAAGUCACGGAGGCUACUGAUGGAAAAUGGGAAGUGCUGAUUGGGUCAUCCCACAUCCUGACCCCCAAGCAGUUCCUGGAAGAUGUACGCAACCUGACUGAGCAGACACCGCUGAAGACUUAAAAUUUCUAGCCCCUAAGAGACUUGCUGGCAGCUGUUCUAUUAGCUACCUUUUUCUUCAGCAAGAUGGCUUCUUCCUCAUCAGUGCCUUUGUUUGAACACUUCUGAGGCUGGCCCUAUCUUGAUCCAACCUUUAGCCAGCUAUCAUGAUUGAAUUGACACUGGAAGGACCUCACCCGGGGCCUAGAAUGACGAUAAGGGUCUAUCUUCAUCUCUUAUUAUGUUGUGGUUUCUGGACACACUUUAUUUUUCUGCCCUCCCACAAAUAAGGGAAGAAGGAAGGGCUAUGUAGUUCAUGAAUAAGUCUCUCCUACUCUUGCCUAGAAGUUAUUUGUUCCCUUACAUGAUGACUUGCCAAGAAAUUAAUUCUUUUGACUUGACCUUACACAAAUUUGAUGGCUUUCAUCAGAGCCUAUUUCUUUCCUUUCUUUUUUCUCCCAGCAAAGGAAAUCGAUCAACAAAAGUGAUUGCUUGUUCCUCCUUUAUGAAAAUAUUCUGGAACAAACUCUCAUUUCUGGAUUCCCACAUUUAGAAGCUUGGCUUUAACACUUAGCUUGAAAGGAUGAUUGAUUGCUGCUUUUAAAAAGUGGGAAAGAUGAUUUUGCUGAAGAAGUCAUGUGCUGUCUUCGUUAAAAAGAUUGCACAGCUCAGCCGAGGAAUCUCAGUCUUUAAAAUAAAUAUGAAAUUCAAGAUUGUUGGCAUUCUCUCUUCUGUAGAGGAGAAGUCAAGCUGUGAUAGAGAAGAAAAAGAUUUUUGCUUCCCAUAUAAAGAAUUGGGUAUGUCAGCCUUUAUCUUGGAAAGUUACUGUGCCAGUUGAAGACAUUAUUUAUGAGUGUCUUUAUUUUGGCCUUGUUCCACAACAUACUACAAGGGGCUUCCUGAUAACAGCAUGGAAACAGUAGCCGGUCAAAAAUGUUGCAGCAAGACUGUUCACCAUGAUGCAGUGACAUGUAGGCUACUGCUUUACACUCCACAAGUGUCUUUGCUUGUAUUUCUGGCCUUAGUUUAAAAUAUUGAAAUUAAACAUUUAACCAGAGCUCCAAAUUGUCUUCAGAAUACCUUCAGAUAUUUAACGUAUUUAUUAUUAAAAGAUGUUACAGUAUUUUAAGUUUAGUAAAUUUCAAUAAAUGUAUACCGAUUAUUUAUGCAUUUCUGUAAAAGAUAUUAGGGAUAUUUUCAGAUGGUCCAGCUCAGACAUCUUCCCAAAAGGUGAGAUGGAGACCAUGAUGACACUCAUCCUACAGAGACUUAUCUGGCAUAAAUGAUCACCUUGGAGCCAGAAUAAGUUGCCUGUGAAAAUAAACAAGGCUUCAUCUUUGUUUUUGUUUUUUAAAUCUACAUUUGAACUGUUUAGCUUUUUCUGUGACACAAGAUUUAUUCAGGCUUUCUUGUGUAUUUGUUUCUUAAUGUUUAGAGGGAGUAUGUUAUUCUAUCUGAUGUUGUAUACGUAUAAGCUGCAUUCACUGAACUGUCCAGAUAAAAUGUAGCUAUUGGUUGUAACAGAGACAAAUAAAAAUAGAGAAAGAUAA